rnacentral:rRNA from 1 species
UACGUAGGGGGCUAGCGUUGUCCGGAUUUAUUGGGCGUAAAGAGCGUGUAGGCGGCCAGAUAGGUCUGCUGUGAAAACUCGAGGCUCAACCUCGAGCUGUCGGCGGAAACCAUUUGGCUAGAGUCCGGGAGAGGGAUGCGGAAUUCCAGGUGUAGCGGUGAAAUGCGUAGAUAUCUGGAGGAACACCGGUGGCGAAGGCGGCAUCCUGGACCGGCAUUGACGCUGAGGAGCGAAAGCCAGGGGAGCAAACGGG